rnacentral:rRNA from 1 species
AACGUAGGUGGCGAGCGUUAUCCGGAUUUACUGGGUGUAAAGCGUGUGCAGGCGGGUUACCAAGUGGUGUAUGAAAGGUUGGGGCUUAACUCCAACAGUGUAUGCCAGACUGAUAGCCUGGAGUGCGAGAGAGGGCGUGGAAUUCCGGGUGUAGUGGUGAAAUGCGUAGAGAUCCGGAGGAACCCAGAGGCGAAGGCGGCGCCCUGGCUCGCAACUGACG